AUUGAACGCUGGCGGCAGGCUUUACACAUGCAAGUCGAGCGAGCGGCGGACGGGUGAGUAAUGUCUGGGAACCUGCCUGAUAGCGGAGGAUAACUACUGGAAACGGUAGCUAAUACCGCAUACUCUUAGAUGUGCCCAGAUGGGUUUAGCUAGUAGGUGUGGUAAUGGCUCACCUAGGCUACGAUCCCUCGCUGGUUUGAGAGGAUGACCAGCCACACUGGAACUGAGACACGGUCCAGACUCUGACGGGAGGCAGCAGUGGGGAAUAUUGCACAAGGGGCGCAAGCCUGAUGCAGCCAUGCCGCGUGUGUGAAGAAGGCCUUCGGGUUGUAAAGCACUUUCAGCGAGGAGGCGUUACUCGCAGAAGAAGCACCGGCUAACUACGUGCCAGCAGCCGCGGUAAUAC
rnacentral:rRNA from 1 species